GAUGAACGCUGGCGGCGUGCUUAACACAUGCAAGUCGAACGUGAGAGGUAGCAAUAUCUUGAAAGUGGCGCACGGGUGAGUAACACGUAGGUAACCUGCCUCGGAGUGGGGGAUAACAGUUAGAAAUGACUGCUAAUACCGCAUGAAUCCAUUAAGAUGGGAAUGUUGAUGGAGAAAACUCUGGUGCUUCGAGAGGGGCCUGCGGUCGAUUAGCUAGUUGGCGGGUAACGGCCCACCAAGGCGACGAUCGAUAGCUGGUCUGAGAGGACGAUCAGCCACACGGGAACUGAGACACGGUCCGACUCCUACGGGGGCAGCAGUGAGGAAUAUUGGGCAAUGGGCGGAAGCCUGACCCAGCAACGCCGCGUGGAGGAAUGAAGGCCUUCGGGUUGUAAACGUCCUUUUGCAGGGAAGAGGAAGGAACGGUACCCGUGCGAAUAAGUCACGGCUAACU
rnacentral:rRNA from 1 species